rnacentral:tRNA from 2 species
GCCCCGGUGGUGUAGCGGUUAUCAUACGGGCCUGUCGAGCCCGUGACUCGGGUUCAAAUCCCGACCGGGGCG